rnacentral:rRNA from 1 species
UACGUAGGGGUGCAAGCGUUAAUCGGAAUUACUGGGCGUAAAGCGUGCGCAGGCGGUUGUGCAAGACCGAUGUGAAAUCCCCGGGCUUAACCUGGGAAUGGCAUUGGUGACUGCACGGCUAGAGUGUGGCAGAGGGGGGUGGAAUUCCGCGUGUAGCAGUGAAAUGCGUAGAGAUGCGGAGGAACACCGAUGGCGCAAGGCAGCCCCCUGGGCGUAGCACU